rnacentral:tRNA from 1 species
GAAGGCAGAGCUCAGUGAUAGAGCGCAUGCUUAGCAUGCAUGAGGUCCUGGGUUCAAUCCCUAGCACGUUUG